GGUCUGAGACCAGGCACACACCACACACCGGGACAACACUGCUAGGUGAACAGGGGCUACACGUGAAAGGAGACACAACCAAAUAUCUCCACCCGGCCGGGGAAUCGAACCCCGGUUAUCUGGCUUGUGAAGCCAGCACUCUAACCACUGAGCUACCGGGCCGUGUGUGUGUGUGUGUGUGUGCGCGCCAAGAAACUUAUAAUUACAAGACUGAAAAAGAAGACUGCCAGGAAAGGACAUAAGAGAGAGAGAGAGAGAGUGUGUGUGUGUGUGUGUGUGUGUGUGUGUGUGUGUGUGUGUGUGUGUGUGUGUGUGUGUGUGUGUGUGU